GGUUAAGCGACUAAGCGUACACGGUGGAUGCCCUGGCAGUCAGAGGCGAUGAAGGACGUGCUAAUCUGCGAAAAGCGCCGGCGAGGUGAUAUGAACCUUUGACCCGGCGAUGUCCGAAUGGGGAAACCCAGUGUGUUCCGACACACUAUCGUUAACUGAAUACAUAGGUUAACGAGGCGAACCGGGGGAACUGAAACAUCUAAGUACCCCGAGGAAAAGAAAUCAACCGAGAUCCCCCAGUAGCGGCGAGCGAACGGGGAGCAGCCCGGAGUCUGAAUCAGCUUGUGUGUUAGUGGAACGGUCUGGAAAGUCCGACGGUACAGGGUGAUAGUCCCGUACACGAAAAUGCACAUGCUGUGAACUCGAAGAGUAGGGCGGGACACGUGGUAUCCUGUCUGAAUAUGGGGGGACCAUCCUCCAAGGCUAAAUACUCCUGACUGACCGAUAGUGAACCAGUACCGUGAGGGAAAGGCGAAAAGAACCCCGGCGAGGGGAGUGAAAAAGAACCUGAAACCGUGUACGUACAAGCAGUGGGAGCACCUUCGGGUGUGACUGCGUACCUUUUGUAUAAUGGGUCAGCGACUUAUAUUCUGUAGCAAGGUUAACCGUAUAGGGGAGCCGAAGGGAAACCGAGUCUUAACUGGGCGUUAAGUUGCAGGGUAUAGACCCGAAACCCGGUGAUCUAGCCAUGGGCAGGUUGAAGGUUGGGUAACACUAACUGGAGGACCGAACCGACUAAUGUUGAAAAAUUAGCGGAUGACCUGUGGCUGGGGGUGAAAGGCCAAUCAAACCGGGAGAUAGCUGGUUCUCCCCGAAAGCUAUUUAGGUAGCGCCUCGUGAACUCAUCUUCGGGGGUAGAGCACUGUUUCGGCUAGGGGGCCAUCCCGGCUUACCAACCCGAUGCAAACUACGAAUACCGAAGAAUGUUAUCACGGGAGACACACGGCGGGUGCUAACGUCCGUCGUGAAGAGGGAAACAACCCAGACCGCCAGCUAAGGUCCCAAAGUCAUGGUUAAGUGGGAAACGAUGUGGGAAGGCACAGACAGCCAGGAUGUUGGCUUAGAAGCAGCCAUCAUUUAAAGAAAGCGUAAUAGCUCACUGGUCGAGUCGGCCUGCGCGGAAGAUGUAACGGGGCUAAACCAUGCACCGAAGCUGCGGCAGCGACGCUUAUGCGUUGUUGGGUAGGGGAGCGUUCUGUAAGCCGUUGAAGGUGUGCUGUGAGGCAUGCUGGAGGUAUCAGAAGUGCGAAUGCUGACAUAAGUAACGAUAAAGCGGGUGAAAAGCCCGCUCGCCGGAAGACCAAGGGUUCCUGUCCAACGUUAAUCGGGGCAGGGUGAGUCGACCCCUAAGGCGAGGCCGAAAGGCGUAGUCGAUGGGAAACAGGUUAAUAUUCCUGUACUUGGUGUUACUGCGAAGGGGGGACGGAGAAGGCUAUGUCAGCCGGGCGACGGUUGUCCCGGUUUAAGCAUGUAGGCGGAGGUUCCAGGUAAAUCCGGUACCUUGUUAACGCUGAGGUGUGAUGACGAGGCACUACGGUGCUGAAGUGAUAAAUGCCCUGCUUCCAGGAAAAGCCUCUAAGCAUCAGGUAACACGAAAUCGUACCCCAAACCGACACAGGUGGUCAGGUAGAGAAUACCAAGGCGCUUGAGAGAACUCGGGUGAAGGAACUAGGCAAAAUGGUGCCGUAACUUCGGGAGAAGGCACGCUGAUAUGUAGGUGAAGUCCCUGCGGACGGAGCUGAAAUCAGUCGAAGAUACCAGCUGGCUGCAACUGUUUAUUAAAAACACAGCACUGUGCAAACACGAAAGUGGACGUAUACGGUGUGACGCCUGCCCGGUGCCGGAAGGUUAAUUGAUGGGGUUAGCGGCAACGCGAAGCUCUUGAUCGAAGCCCCGGUAAACGGCGGCCGUAACUAUAACGGUCCUAAGGUAGCGAAAUUCCUUGUCGGGUAAGUUCCGACCUGCACGAAUGGCGUAAUGAUGGCCAGGCUGUCUCCACCCGAGACUCAGUGAAAUUGAACUCGCUGUGAAGAUGCAGUGUACCCGCGGCAAGACGGAAAGACCCCGUGAACCUUUACUAUAGCUUGACACUGAACACUGGUCCUUGAUGUGUAGGAUAGGUGGGAGGCUUUGAAGCGUGGACGCCAGUCUGCGUGGAGCCAUCCUUGAAAUACCACCCUUUAAUGGCUGGUGUUCUAACGUAGACCCGUGAUCCGGGUUGCGGACAGUGUCUGGUGGGUAGUUUGACUGGGGCGGUCUCCUCCCAAAGAGUAACGGAGGAGCACGAAGGUUGGCUAAUCCUGGUCGGACAUCAGGAGGUUAGUGCAAUGGCAUAAGCCAGCUUGACUGCGAGCGUGACGGCGCGAGCAGGUGCGAAAGCAGGUCAUAGUGAUCCGGUGGUUCUGAAUGGAAGGGCCAUCGCUCAACGGAUAAAAGGUACUCCGGGGAUAACAGGCUGAUACCGCCCAAGAGUUCAUAUCGACGGCGGUGUUUGGCACCUCGAUGUCGGCUCAUCACAUCCUGGGGCUGAAGUAGGUCCCAAGGGUAUGGCUGUUCGCCAUUUAAAGUGGUACGCGAGCUGGGUUUAGAACGUCGUGAGACAGUUCGGUCCCUAUCUGCCGUGGGCGCUGGAGAAUUGAGGGGGGCUGCUCCUAGUACGAGAGGACCGGAGUGGACGCAUCACUGGUGUUCGGGUUGUCAUGCCAAUGGCACUGCCCGGUAGCUAAAUGCGGAAGAGAUAAGUGCUGAAAGCAUCUAAGCACGAAACUUGCCCCGAGAUGAGUUCUCCCUGAGACCUUGAGUCUCCUGAAGGAACGUUGAAGACGACGACGUUGAUAGGUCGGGUGUGUAAGCGCAGCGAUGCGUUGAGCUAACCGAUACUAAUGAACCGUGAGGCUUAACCUU
rnacentral:rRNA from 1 species